GCCUACGGGGGGCAGCAGUGGGGAAUAUUGGACAAUGGGCGCAAGCCUGAUCCAGCCAUGCCGCGUGGAUGAAGAAGGCCCUAGGGUUGUAAAGUCCUUUCGACGGAGACGAUAAUGACGGUAUCCGUAGAAGAAGCCCCGGCUAAUUUCGUGCCAGCAGCCGCGGUAAUACGAAAGGGGCUAGCGUUGUUCGGAAUUACUGGGCGUAAAGCGCACGUAGGCGGUCGUGGAAGAUGGGGGUGAAAUCCCGGGGCUCAACUCCUGAACUGCCUUCAUGACUGCAUGGCUAGAGGAUGCGAGAGGUUGGCGGAAUUCCGAGUGUAGAGGUAAAAUUCGUAGAUAUUCGGAAGAACACCAGUGGCGAAGGCGGCCAACUGGCGCAUUUCUGACGCUGAGGUGCGAAAGCGUGGGGAGCAAACAGGAUUAGAUACCCGAGUAGUCC
rnacentral:rRNA from 1 species